GCUCGCCACACCCAUCCAUUCAUAAAGUAGAGUAGAGUGAAGCGCGCGGGAACGGAGGGAGGGUUGGGUGGCACGCGCGCCGCCGGCCUGACGAGUGGCUCGUCCGCCGCCUCCAUCAUGCUAGCUAACACGGCUAACCUGAGGGGGGUAAAGUGCUGAUCAGUGAGACGGAAAGGCCUUGCGUAGGCUGAUUCGAACAAAAAAAUAGCCUGGCCUGUGACACAGACACAUGAAAGGCAUGGGGGUUAAGCCCAGCCAGAUCAAUUUCACUCAGCAACUCUCUCUGUCCCAAGCUCCGGCCCGACCAAACCCACAAUGCCUGCCGUUCUGUGACAGAGAGCCACACCAUUCUCUGAGCUGAUCCACCCUACAAUAGCCUGAUACAGAAGUGCCAAUUGAGCUUGAACAAUCUCCGACAAAAGCAACACUGACCCUGACCCUGCCUAGCCCAGACCCAACUUCAUCUUCUGCCAAAAAAGAUUGCAAAAAGAGGUUGGACCCCAGAUGAGCCAAGACAUGUUAGCUGCUUGUCUAAUAAAAUUAAACCACAAAGCUAAUGGUGUGAAACUCUAUGUCGCAACAAGUGUUGAGUUCAUGCAAUUUCUAAAGAAGGGCCCUAUCCUGUUUUUUUGCAAGCGAUGACAGAGUUGUUUCAGACAACAUAUACAGUACAAUCAAGCAUAAUGAAUUGACUACAC